rnacentral:misc_RNA from 1 species
AAUUGACCAGUAAAAUUGCAGAUAAUGUGAAUCUGGCCAAUUGCUCAAGACAUGGUAUAAGGCUCAAAACUUGUAAGCCAAUUUUUUUUCUACCAAAAAGCUUCUAUCUUGCUGCUUUCUUUCUAUAAUAUUCAUUUGUCUUAGACAUGGAAGCCUAUCACUCAAAUUAUGCCAGUCAAGUGCUUGUGUGUUCUGUAUGUA